CCUACGGGAGGCAGCAGUGAGGAAUAUUGGUCAAUGGCCGUAAGGCUGAACCAGCCAAGUCGCGUGAAGGAAGAAGGAUCUAUGGUUUGUAAACUUCUUUUAUAGGGGAAUAAAGGUAUCCACGUGUGGAUAUUUGCAUGUACCCUAUGAAUAAGCAUCGGCUAACUCCGUGCCAGCAGCCGCGGUAAUACGGAGGAUGCGAGCGUUAUCCGGCUUUAUUGGGUUUAAAGGGUGCGUAGGUUGUUUUUUAAGUCAGCGGUGAAAGUUUGUGGCUCAACCAUAAAAUUGCCGUUGAAACUGGAAGACGUGAGUGUGUUUGAGGUAGGCGGAAUGCGUGGUGUAGCGGUGAAAUGCAUAGAUAUCACGCAGAACUCCGAUUGCGAAGGCAGCUUACUAAGCCAUAACUGACACUGAAGCACGAAAGCGUGGGGAUCAAACAGGAUUAGAUACCCUUGUAGUC
rnacentral:rRNA from 1 species